rnacentral:lncRNA from 1 species
CGCUGUUUGGGUGCACGUUUGUAUACUUCACUACAACAAAAACGAUCUAUAGAGAUAUUUUUAAAUAUCGGUACAGAUCAAAGAAAGUGUUGCUGGCUAAAUUACCGACACUUUUAAAAAGUGUUGCUAUAUAUAGGGUCGAUAGGUAUAUAGUGACAGUUAAGAGUGUCGGUAUAACCUAAAAAGAGUGUUGCUAAUUUACUAAUGCUUAUUUAAAUAUUUAGCAACCACCGUAACUCUAUCUCGUUGGCUGUGGUGGCGAAGAAUAAGGAGAGGGAAAGGUUCUUCGUCUAGAAUUUCAAUGUAUUGAGUGAGGGGAGAAGGGGAGAUAAUAAUCGGUUUUUUCUUUUUUUUUUCUUUUCUGUUUAUAAUCAAGCCGAAUGGGCUGGAUGGGGUGGGUUGAAUAGAGUAACCUUUUAUUUUUAGUUGGGUUGUGUUUUAUAUUUAGACAUUAGUAGAUUUUUUUUAAAGUUUUAGUAUAAAUGAGACACUUAUAUAAAAAUAUCCCAAACAUAUAUCGCUAUAACCUAAUUCUGUUGUAGUGCUUAUCUAGAUGCAUUGUGAAAGAGAGAGAAACUAACCAAAAUUUUAAUAAUUACACAAUUAUUUUGAUCGCAUAUAUAUUUU